GACCUAAACCAGUGGCUCCGGCUGCUGGUAUGGUCAAAAGUCCGGUCAAGGCCAGAAAACCCGUCGUGGGUUCUUGCCUUGACCGGUCAUGCAGGGAAACUUGCAUGAGUGGCUUCGGCCACU
rnacentral:sRNA from 1 species